UUGACUUAUAAUUCAUUGUUU
rnacentral:piRNA from 1 species